rnacentral:tRNA from 1 species
UCCCUGCUGGCUCAGACGGUAAAGAAUCCGCCUACAACGCGGGAGACCUGGGUUCGAUCCCUAGGUUGGGAA